CUGCCGCUUACUAAGCCGACCUGUUUCGCUGCAGUGCGGUUCUGGUGUGCAAUGGUGGCAGACAUUGAAUCUCUGGUUUGUGUAUGAACUCAGCUGGGAGGUGCUGAGUGCUUUAAGGGACCAUUGAGACAACG